GGGGAUGUAGCUCAAGAGUUGAACACUUGCUUAGCACGAGCAAGGCUCUGGGUUCAAUUCCCAGCAUUGCCA
rfam:Ictidomys tridecemlineatus contig104877, whole genome shotgun sequence.